UAAAUUACACACAAUGGUUGGAAUGACCACACAGAGAUAAAAUCUCCAAUAACGGGGUUCCACAACAUACAAAAACAUAACAAUAAUUUACACUUUGGCGUGACAGAUAUUAGACAUACUAAUAAACAGAUAAACAAAUUAACAGGCCACAAAUUGAAACAAACAACGAUAAGACAACGGAAUGAGAUCCUCAUUGAAAUUCUGAACUCGUGAAUGAAGUACUUGAGUAAUUAGAAGCUGUUAAGAUUGUUUAUGUAUCUAGCAAGCUAUAUUGGAAUUUAA